rnacentral:rRNA from 1 species
CGGCGCUACCAUGCAGUCGACGGUAACAGGAAGCAGCUUGCUGCUUCGCUGACGAGUGGCGGACGGGUGAGUAAUGUCUGGGAAACUGCCUGAUGGAGGGGGAUAACUACUGGAAACGGUAGCUAAUACCGCAUAACGUCGCAAGACCAAAGAGGGGGACCUUCGGGCCUCUUGCCAUCGGAUGUGCCCAGAUGGGAUUAGCUAGUAGGUGGGGUAACGGCUCACCUAGGCGACGAUCCCUAGCUGGUCUGAGAGGAUGACCAGCCACACUGGAACUGAGACACGGUCCAGACUCCUACGGGAGGCAGCAGUGGGGAAUAUUGCACAAUGGGCGCAAGCCUGAUGCAGCCAUGCCGCGUGUAUGAAGAAGGCCUUCGGGUUGUAAAGUACUUUCAGCGGGGAGGAAGGUGUUGAGGUUAAUAACCUUGUCAAUUGACGUUACCCGCAGAAGAAGCACCGGCUAACUCCGUGCCAGCAGCCGCGGUAAUACGGAGGGUGCAAGCGUUAAUCGGAAUUACUGGGCGUAAAGCGCACGCAGGCGGUCUGUCAAGUCGGAUGUGAAAUCCCCGGGCUCAACCUGGGAACUGCAUUU